CACAAAAGAGUAAAAACAAAAAAAAUUUCUCCAUCAACUCUCAACACUGCUGCUCGUCCCCUCCCGUCCCCCCCUUGGUCUCUCCGCCUCUCCUCUGGUACAGCCGCGCGCCUCCGCCUCCCGCCUCUUGCCUAUCGUCCUUAAAAGCACUACCAAGAUAGAGGUGCCAAAAACCAAAAUAGCACACGGGACUAGAAUCACAAGGUAGAGGCUACAGAAUAACCAGGCGCAGCUGCCGGAUGUUGCCAGAAAAUACACAUGCGCUGGCGUGUGGGCUGUAGGCAGAACUCAGCAUACGGGGCCACAUGUUUCACGUUCGGUCACCAGAUCUCCACAGGAGGCCAAUCAGCUGCUGGGCUUUCCACCUGAGGGGGCAGUGACGGGAACGGAAAACCUUAAAAGUUUGAUCAAUAAAUAAUGCCGAAGAACAGUACCCGUGAACAUCCAACAAUGCCGAUGAACAAUAUUCAACAGUAUCAAUGAAUAGUACCCGAGGGCAAUACCUAAGCCCCAAAGGAUUGAAGGCUCUAAUUCCAUAUGAACUUUGAAUUUUCCAUAUAAAUUUCUGUGAGAAUGAACAAUAGUUAUAUACAAAAUAUCCUAUAAUCAAGUAUUCUAACUAGAAAAGUAUCUCUAUAAUUAUGCUAAUAAUAUUUAUAUAGAUGACUUACUAUAACAAUCUAAAUACAAUUUCAUUCUUCAAUGACAAAUAUAAAUUUUGUUAAAUUUAAAAAUAUACCCAAAAAUUAUCAUGAAUUCUAAAUUUAUAUAUAACAAGCUAACAAAAGUUUUACAAUAUUGUUAUUGAAACUUGAAAUGGUAACCAGAAAUUGAGUUAUGAUAAAGGAGUAAAUUUGUGUGUCUGUGUGUAUGUAAAGAUUGUAUUUUCUAAAAUCAUGUUGUUAAGGUAUUUAGUAAUGAAAAAAAAAAAAAUUUCUACAGUUCUAUUGAUAUUUAAUUAAAUAUUAUUUGAAUUAUGAAAACAUUUAAAUGAUAUUUUUGAUGUAAUUGAAUAAGUGUAAUAAUAAAAUAUUUCAAUAAUUUCAAAUAAUAAAAAAUUAAUGAAUCAAUAGUAUUGGAAUUAACUCUAACCAUAAGGUUUUAAAUUUGAAUCGUAGUUACGACCAAAUGAAUAAAGGAAAAUUUAAAAUAAAAAAUUGAAAGAGUAAAUUAACAUUCAAUUGAAAAUAAUUUAGUAGUAAUAUUGACGUGGCAACUUCAUACAUUAGACCAUAUUGGAAAUUGGUUAAUUUACUACUAUGGUUCAAUAAUUUAACAUAAGAAAAUGUAGAAGUUGAAAUGGCUUAGUAGUUAAUAGCUUUUUUGAACCUGAGAUUUCUCAGAUUUACUCGGAUGUAUUUACCAUUAAGUUAAACUUGUGAGUGCAGGUAUAUUAUAAUGUUUAACUAUUUCUAUUUAAUAAUAAGAGUGAAACACCGAAAAAGACUGAACUCUUAAAAUUUAUUGAAUCUACCUAAACUAUGGAAAUUAUCAAUAAACUCUGAAACUCUUGAGGAUUUUGCAAUUAUACCCUAAGCAAAAAAAAAAGAGCAAUUAAACUCUAAACUCUAAACUCUUGAGGAUUUUGCAAUUUCACUCUACUGUCAAUUUCUUGUUAUCUUUUUGGAAAUCACUAUACGUUUUAGUUCUAUAGAAAAAAGACAAUUAAAAAAAAUUGUUUAUUAUUAUUUUUUUUUUGGAGUUUUUAUGACUGAUAUAUGUUAUAAAUUUAAAUUUGACUUGAAAUCAAAUUUGUAAUAGCUUCUAAGUAUUGUAUUUAAAUUGGAAUUUGUGUUACUAUUUUUGAUAUCCUCUAACAUAUAUAUGUGUGUGUGAGUAUCGCUGUAUAUAAAGUGGUUUUUUAUUAUUAAUAAUAUUUAUGAACAUUAAUAUUUUUGAAUUAUUUUUCUAGGAGAGUUAAAUAUAUAGUGAUGUUCCAAAAAAAUAAUGGAAACUGCUAAUAGGGUGUUGUUGAAAAAUUUUGAAAAAGCUUAAAAGUUCAAUUGGCAAUUUUUAAUUAAUAAUAAUUAUCAUAAAUAAAUAAAGAUAACUAUAUUCAAGUGCAAAAGAGGAAAAAAAGAGAAUAUUUUGACAAGAAGAAAUGGAAAGAGAAAAAAAAUGAAUAGCAUGAGACAUAUGCAUACUCUUUGACAAGAAGAAAAUGAUUUGUUUUGUAGUGAUAUAAGGAUAUGGUUGUCCAAAUACUGUUACUAAAUAGGAGUGAGCAAUCAGUUGGUUCGGCUCAAAAUCGCAUCGAACAGAAUAAAUUGAAAAUCAAAAUUUAAAUAAUUGUAAAAAUUGAAUCGAACUAGGGGAGAAACUGAACUGAAUCGAAUCGGUUUGAUUCGAUUAUGUCGGUUGGGCUUUUUAACGAUCUUUUUUAUUGUUUACACUUUACACUUUAUUUUUUGUGUUCUAAAAUUCAAUUGUAAGUAUUUCUACCAAUUUGCUUAAAUUAUCAAAACGACAUAGUAUUGGUAACUAAUUAUUCCAGUUUAGUUUUGCCGAAUUUUUUUAAAUCAAAAUCAAACCGAAUUAAAAAAAAUAUAAAACUAAACUGAAUUUCUGAAUUGAUUCAAUUUGGUCGGUUAUUUCGGUUUGAACUUAAUACUGCUCAUCCCUAUUACUAGAACAAUAAACAAGGUUGCAUUGUAGUAUAUAUAAUAAUGCAUCUAUAAAUAAGCAAGUUUUCAGAAAGGUGAAAUAAAAAAAAUAUAUGGAGUAAUAGUCUUAGUUAAUUCUGAUACUACCUCUUUUUUGUGAGAAAAAAACCAAGUGUAAGAUUUUAAUUUGUGUCAAUUGUGUGUGUACAUUUCUUAAACUAAAAAGGAAAAAGGGUUGCUGCUGCAAGGAAAAAAGCUAAAAACUUAAAGCCAAUGGAUCUUCAAUCUAAAUAUAGUUCACAUUUAUUAUAUACAGGAAAUUAGAGAAAAGUAAAAAAUGAUGCUGCUGGGAUUUGAAUUUAUAAUGGUGCCAAAGAAUGGUGUCUUUUCCAAAAUUUCCAAGCAACUCUAAGGAAAUGAGGGAACAAAAACAGUUUAAAGUAGUUUUUUUAAGGGUAAUGCUAAUUUGUAGACCUCUAAUAAUUGAAUUAUAAUUUUUCAUAUGUAAAAUUUUUCACUGCUAAAUACCAAACUCUGUUUUCCAUGGAGCGUUUUCCAGUUCUCUUGGAAUAAUUUCUUGGAAAACAAGGUUUGUUUUCUGAUAUGGAACAGUUAGACUCCUAUUAAGAUUAGGAUUAUUUUUGCAUAUUAGGAUUUUAUUUCUAUUGUAAAUAACUUCCCUUGGCUAUUAGGAUUUUAGACUCCUAUUAGGAUUAGGAUUAUUUUUGCAUAUUAGGAUUUUAUUUCUAUUAUAAAUAGCCUCCCUUGGCUAUUAGGAUUUUAGACUCCUAUUAGGAUUAGGAUUAUUUUUGCAUAUUAGGAUUUUAUUUCUAUUAUAAAUAGCCUCCCUUGGCUAUUAGGAACUCACUUUCCAAUUUUUAAGAAAUUUCAAUAAGACUUUUCGUCUUUUAGCCUAUCUUUUCUCUUAUUUCGUCUUAACCAAACGAUAUUGGUUACAACUCCUGACGGAGUCUAAAUAGUCCUGUAUCAGAUUGGUAUCAGAGUGAAGUUCGACCAUGGCAGAUAACCAAGAGGCGCGACUUGCUGCGAUUGAGGCAUCCUUAGCAGAAUUGAGGGAGAUGAUCGGACAGCUGACCCUGCAGCAGGGAAUCCACCAACUCGCUGCCGCCGCACAUCUCCAUAUGGCCGCCAAUCCUGUGGCCGCCAUUCCUGUGGUUAUCAAUCUUAUGCCUGCAAAUCCCCAACAGAACUAUCAGGAAGGUUACAGGAUCAAGGUAGACCUUCAAAACUUUUCUGGUUCAUUAGAUGUUGAAUCUGUUCUUGAUUGGCUGGCAGAGGUUGAACGCUUCUUUGAAAUUAUGAACGUGAAAGAGGAACGCAAGGUUCCAAUUGUGGCCUAUAAGUUGAAAGGGGGUGCAGCAGCCUGGUGGAAUUCGAUUUAAAACGAACGCUAUUGGAAGAGGCUGAAACCCAUACGAAACUGGGUGCUGAUGAAGCAGAUGUUUGAACAACGGUUCUUGCCUAGCGAUCAUGCUCAGGUUUUAUAUAACCGGUAUCAUGACUAUGUACAAGGGAACCGAAGGGUGGAUGAGUAUACCGAGGAGUUUCUAAGGCUGCAGGCGAGAUGUGAAAACUGUGAGAACAAGGCCCAACAGGUUGCUCAUUAUCAGAGGGGGCUGAAUCACAAAAUUCAUUGUAUGAUGGGAGUAGCUGUGAUUUUCACCUUGGCAGACGCUAUUGAGAUGGCAAAAAGGGCAGAAGAGUGUGUUGAUUGGCAGCCACGAUAGCAGCAGUACAACCAGAAUUUCAAUUACAGAAACUCUAGUUCAACAGGGACGCAGCAAUAUAGAGGCAACUACAGCGGACAGCCUUCUAAGGUUGUAAAUUCUGGCAACCCUCCGAAUACCAUGGAAGAAAGGAGAGACAGUAAGGGCAAGGCAGUCACCACUACAACAGACAAAGGAGGCAGGACCAAUUCUUACCAGAAGCCAACGGGAGACAUCUGUUACCGGUGCAGGCAAUCUGGUCAUCGAUCAAAUAAUUGUCCAGAACGUAGAGGAGUUAAUGCUGACCGCCGGCAGGUUAAUAUAGUUGAGCAGGUGGCUGAAACUGACGAGGAAGUGGAUGACGAUGACAGAUCUAUUGCUGGUUCUGAAGAUGGAGAGGUCACCUAUGUGGUGAAGAAGAUCUUAUGCUCAACAAAACAGGAGGACGAGACACAAAGGAGGAAGAUUUUCCAGGCAAAGUGUCGAGUAGGAGAGGCAAUUUGCAGGCUAAUUAUAGAUAGCUGCAGUUGUGAGAAUCUGAUAGCUAAGCAGUUGGUAGAAAAAUUACAGUUGCCUACACAGCCUCACCCCUCACCAUACAAAGUCGGAUGGAUUAAGGAAGGACCGACAAUUGAGGUCAACAGAAUCUGCAGCGUGCCUAUCUCGAUCGGUAAAUCUUAUACUAAACCUGUUAAUUGUGAUGUUGUGGAUAUGGAUUGCUGUGAAAUUUUGCUAGGUCGCCCUUGGCAAUUCGACGUUGAUGCUUUGCAUAAAGGGAUGGAGAAUUCAUACAUAUUCACGUGGAAUCAAAAGAAGAUUACUACUUUGCCUUCCGGUUCUAUGAAACAUUCUAAGGUGGAAGGGAAGCAUACUGUUGCUGUUUCUACGGGAGUGCAGAAGCUAUCAGGUGCAGUUGAGAAAUCUGGAGGCACACUAGCUUUAUUGGUGAGAGCAAAAGGUACAAUGGAAGAUGCACCAUCUUUACCACCGCCCGUCAAAGAGUUGUUAAAGGAGUUUCCUAAGAUAGUGGAGGAAUCAUCAAAGCUUCCACCCCUGCGGGAUAUCCAACAUCAGAUUGAUCUCAUUCCUGGAUCAAAAUUACCGAAUCUGUCUCAUUACAAGAUGAGUCCAAAGGAGAGUGAAAUCCUCCAAGAACAGGUGAAAGAAUUACUAAAGAAGGGGCAUAUUCGGGAGAGCAUUAGCCCCUGCGGAGUACCUGCCCUAUUAGUUCCAAAGAAAGAUGGGACUUGGAGAAUGUGCGUGGAUAGCAGGGCCAUCAAUAAAAUUACAGUUCAAUAUCGAUUUCCUAUCCCACGAUUGGAUGACAUGCUAGAUCAGCUAUCCGGGGCUAAAGUCUUUUCUAAAAUCGACCUCAAAAGUGGCUAUCACCAAGUUCGGAUCAAGGAGGGAGAUGAAUGGAAGACUGCCUUCAAGACUAAGGAAGGCUUGUAUGAGUGGUUGGUUAUGCCCUUUGGUUUAACAAAUGCACCUAGCACUUUUAUGCAACUCAUGAACCAGGUUUUGUGUCCUUUCUUACGCAAAUUUGUGGUUGUUUAUUUUGAUGACAUUUUGAUAUUUAGUCGCAGUAAGGAAGAACAUCUUCAGCAUCUCCGUCAAGUCAUGACGGCCCUACAAGAAAGUGAGUUGAUUAUUAAUCUUGAGAAGUGCAUCUAUAUGACGGAGCGCGUUCUGUUCCUGGGAUUCGUUGUUAGUACAGAAGGGAUACAUGUUGAUAAGACGAAGGUAGAAGCAAUACGGAAUUGGCCCAUCUCCAAAACUAUUUAUGAAGUUCGCAGCUUUCAUGGCCUUGCCACUUUCUACCGACGGUUUAUCAGAAAUUUUAGCAGCAUCGUUGCCCCUAUCACAGAUUGCUUGAAGAAAGAGAGAGUGUAGAAAUUUGCAUGGACUGAAGCUGCCAACAAGAGCUUUGAAGAGAUUAAAGAUAAGCUUACUUCUGCCCCUAUUCUUGCUCUACCUGAUUUUGAUAAACUGUUUGAGAUUGAAUGUGAUGCUUGUGGAGUUGGGAUUGGAGGAGUAUUGUCACAGUCUAAAAGGCCUAUUGCCUUCUUUAGUGAGAAACUGAAUGAAGCUAGAAAGAAGUGGUCUACUUAUGAGCAGGAACUAUAUGCAGUAUUCCGGGCUUUUAAAACUUGGGAGCAGUAUUUGAUGGGACGAGAAUUUAUUAUUCACACAGAUCAUCAGUCUCUAAUCCAUUUUAAAACUCAAAAACAUGUGAAUAAGAUGCAUGCCUGAUGGGUAGCUUACUUUGGAGCCUUUCAUUAUGUCAUCAAACAUAAGGCUGGCCAUAGUAAUAAGGUGGCAGAUGCUUUGAGUAGGAGGGCUACUUUGUUGAUUAUAGCUAAUCAGGAGGUUGUAGGUUUUGAAUUCCUGAAGGAUUUGUAUGCUACAAAUGAUGAUUUUGCUAAUAUAUGGGCUAGAGUCCAGACUCACCAGCCUACUGAUGGGUUCUUGAUACAUGAUGACUUUCUUUUUAAGGAGAACAGGUUAUGCAUCCCUCGAUCUUCCUUGCGGGAGAAGUUGAUUCGCGAGAUCCAUGGAGGAGGUUUGAGUGGUCAUUUGGGGCGUGACAAGACUAUUGCUGGGUUGGAUGAGCAUUUUUACUGGCCUCCAUUAAAAAAGGGAUACAGAUCGAAUGGUUCAGAAGUGCCCAGUGUGUCAAACUCAGAAAGGACAUUCGCAGAAUACAGGCUUAUACACUCCACUGCCUAUUCCAGCCCAUCCUUGGGAGUACUUGUCUAUGGAUUUUGUUCUUGGUCUUCCACGUACUCAACGUGGAUCUGAUUCCAUUUUUGUUGUUGUUGACAGGUUCUCUAAAAUGGCACAUUUCAUUCCCUACAAGAAAACUAAUGAUGCUUCCCAUGUAGCAAAACUGUUUUUCCAGGAGAUUGUUCGCUUACAUGAUGUCCCCAAAACCAUUACUUCUGACAGAGAUGUGAAGUUUCUAGCUCACUUCUGGGUGACUUUAUGAAAACGCUUCGGGACUGAACUUCGAUAUAGCAGUGCUGCUCACCCCCAAACCGAUGGACAAAUUAAAGUGGUAAACCGCACGCUUGGCAGUCUUCUACGCUGCAUCUGCAGUAACAAGAAAACUGCUUGGGAUCUUGCUCUUGCCCAAGCAGAAUUUGCUUACAACAGUGCGAUUCACAGCUCCACAAAGAUGUCACCAUUUGCUGUUGUGUACAGGAAAGUCCCAACGCAUACAGUUGACCUUAUCGCACUUCCCACAGGUUAUCACAACCGUCUUGCAGCACGCAACCUGGCAAAGCAGCACAUGGAUAUUUUCAAGCAAGUACAACAAUGCCUUACGGAAGCCAAUGAUAAAUAUAAAGCUAUAGCUGAUAAACAUAGGCGUUUCAAAUCCUUCAAUGUCGGUGAUCAAGUUAUGGUGUAUUUACGCAAGGAGCGUGGUGGAGGACAGAAAAAGCUUGACGCCAAGAAGAUUGGUCCAUUCCGGAUCAUUCAGAAGAUUAAUGACAAUGCCUAUGUUCUUGACCUUCCACAUGAGAUGAAAAUUUCCAAAACGUUUAACGUGGUGGAUCUAUUUCAGUACUAUCCUGCUGAAGACAACUCGAGGUCGAGUUCUUUACAAGUGGAAGGGAAUGAUAUGGAACAGUUAGACUCCUAUUAGGAUUAGGAUUAUUUUUGCAUAUUAGGAUUUUAUUUCUAUUGUAAAUAGCCUCCCUUGGCUAUUAGAAUUUUAGACUCCUAUUAGGAUUAGGAUUAUUUUUGCAUAUUAGGAUUUUAUUUCUAUUGUAAAUAGCCUCCCUUGGCUAUUAGGAUUUUAGACUCCUAUUAGGAUUAGGAUUAUUUUUGCAUAUUAGGAUUUUAUUUCUAUUAUAAAUAGCCUCCCUUGGCUAUUAGGAACUCACUUUCCAAUUUUUAAGAAAUUUCAAUAAGACUUUUCGUCUUUUAGUCUAUCUUUUCUCUUAUUUCGUCUUAACCAGACGAUAUUGGUUACAACUCCUGACGGAGUCUAAAUAGUCCUGUAUCAUUUUCCCUGACACCUAAACAGUGUGCUGGAAGUAAGAUGUAAUGACUUCUCCCUAUGCUUUUCCGGCUUCUUUAUUAUAGUCUUUCAUGAUUUCAUCCUUUCUCUGAACUUUUACAUGGUUCAUGGAGUAGAAAAACAACCUUCAUGGUUCUAUAUGAUGCAUUUCAUCUAUGUUCUAUGCAAAUGUGUUGCAUGUGGUCAUUUUCCAUCAAUGUUGUUAACUUAUUCCAUGCUGUUGUUCCACAUUCUUUCUGAAAGGGCAGUACAGAAUGCCAGAUGCAUAUGAUCAGGAAGGAGAUGUUAAUCGGGAGAAAAGAUUUGUUGUGACUUUGCAGCGCUAUAGGUCAGUUUGAAAAAGAAAAAUAUGGCUCUUUGUAAAUUAUUUGAAUCACUAAAUAUGCUGUUUUUCUAUGAGUAAUUUCAGUAGUAGUUUGACUUCUUUUUUUUCCCUUGCUCUCUUGCAAAGGGACCCUAGUGCUGACGAAAAAAUGAAUCCAUUUGCAGAACAGGAGACUUGGGAAAACUACCAAAUUGGUAAACUUAUGUGAUGGUUUUGCCUUUACUGCUUCUAUUAUUAUAUUACUAUUUUAGUAUUUCUUCUCCUGUCCUUUCCAGUUUUGGGCCUAAAUAUGAACUCAUAUCCUCAGGGAAAGCAACAAUGAAAUUUGGUUCAAAGAAUAAAAAGCAAAUGUCUGAUGAUUAUCAGUAACUUUGGAUGUCCAUUGACUAUCAUAAAAGUUUUGACCCAGCAUUUCUUCUUAUUUUGUGCUGUUUUAUUUUAUUAUGAUGAGUUUUUGAUGCCUUAUUUAUCAUUUCUGUUUCUCUUUCAGUCUGUCUAAACUUUAAUGUUUUUAUAUAUUCUUUUUCUUUCAUAUGAAUAACAUAAUAGCACUAUGAAUUUGCUUAGGUUUGUCUUUGAGGACCAGAUUGAGUUUAUCAAGGAAUCGGUGAUGGAUGGUGACAAGGUAGAUCCAUUAUCCCUAAGUUACAUGUGUCUCAGUGUCAAGUUUUCCUUUGAAAUUCACAAAUGAUUGUCUUAUUCUUGUGUGCAGUAUGAUAAUGAGAUGCGUGAGUACGAGAUGCGUGAUGAGUCCUUGGAUUACUCUAGGGCAAAAUCAGCUUUGGAGAAGCUUCAGGUAUGUAUUUGUUAUUUUGAACUACACAUGUUUUGCCUUCUUUUUUAUAUAAAAAUGUUUCGGGGCAAAAUAGCACUAUAUAUCUUCCCUUUGAUUUUUAUAUAAAAAUCAAUUGACAUUUUAAAAUUUUAUUAUUAAUUUUUUAUUAAUUAUUUUUGUAAAAUAUAAUUAUUUAAUUAUUUAAAGCUAAAAUUAAAAAUAGUCGGGUCCAACUAAAUUUUAAAGUAAAAGUUAAAAAGCAAUUAUAUACACAAUAUUAAUAUAACUUUAUAACAAUAUUAUUAUUUAAAAAUAUUAUUUUGUUAUAUUAUUUACAAAAAUAUAUUAUUAAUAUAAAGUGUUAUUUUUUAUAUAUUUUUUUAAAUAAUUACUUUUUUUAAUUUUUUUAUAAAUAAUUACUUCAAAAACUAUAUAUUAUUUUUAUAAAUUUAUAAAAUAAAAACACAAAUAUUUUUUUUGUAAUUCAAAACAUUAUUUUUUGAAUUAAAAAAUUAUUAUUUUUUGAAUUAUUGCUAAAAAAUUAUUAUUCAAAAAUAUUCAUAAGAAACUUAUUUUAAUUUUGAUCAAUAUAAUUAUUAUUCUUAAUUUUUAUCUGGAUCGGUAAAUAUUUUAAAUCAAAGUUUAUUUAAUUAUUUUAUUUGGAAAAAAUAUAUGUUUGGAUAAAUCACAUAAAAUUUUAAUUCUAGAUAAAAUUUUCUAAAAUUUAUGAUAAUAAUGAAGUUUAUUUCUUUAAGGAAAAAAAUCUUAUUUUUAUUUUAAAUAUAUGUUUAUUCAAAUAAGCUACAAUCCAAUAAAAAAUUACAAAAUUUUAUAAAUAAAUUUGUAUUAAUGUUAUGUCAAUUAUCAAUAAUGAGCUUUUAUUGUUACUUUAUUUUAAAUAAAGUUAAAUUAAUUAAUUUUUAAAAAAUUAGAUUUUAUUUUAAAUUUUUAUAGAGUGGAUUUAUUUUUCAUAAUUAAUUAUAAUAUAUAAACAUUACAUUAUUAAAAAGAAAAUAAUAAUAAUUCUUCGAAGUUAUACUGUUUUGAAUUAAAAAAAUAAUAUUUUUGUUUUUAUUUUAUAAAUUUAUAAAAAUAAUAUAUAGUUUUUGAAGUAAUUAUUUAUAAAAAAAUUAAAAAAAGUAAUUAUUUAAAAAAAUAUAUAAAAAAUAACACUUUAUAUUAAUAAUAUAUUUUUGUAAAUAAUAUAACAAAAUAAUAUUUUUAAAUAAUAAUAUUAUUAUAAAAUUAUGUUAAUAUUGUGUAUAUAAUUGCUUUUUAACUUUUUACUUUAAAAUUUAGUUGGACCCGACUAUUUUUAAUUUUAACUUUUAAAUGAUUAAAUAAUUAUAUUUUAUAAAAAUAAUUAAUAAAAAGUUAAUAAUAAAAUUUCAGAGUGUCAAUUAAUUUUUAUAUAAAAAUUAAAGGGAAGAUAUAUAUUUAACUUUAUAUUAUUUUUUUUAAUUUUAUAAUUUUUUUUGGUAGCUUAGUAGGCUAAAAUUAUAUAUAGAUUUGAAAAUUUAAUUUUUAUUAAUUUAAUAUAUAUUUCAUAGAUUAUAUAUUAUUAAAAUAUAUUAAUCACUAAGAAGAAUUUAAUUUUAUUUUAUUUUUAUUUAUUCAAUAGAAUCAACUUACCUACCAUUAUCAUAAGUUUUGUUUUAAAGCUAGAUUUUGGGUGGUUUCGACACCCAUUAGUGAUACUAAUAAAAUCACCCACUCAUCACAAUGUUACUGUCAAGAAUUCAUUUUAUAUUUAGCUCUACAUGUAUGAGAAAAAGAAGAAAUUAUAACAAAAAGUGAUUAUUACAAUUUAGUGAAAAAUAAUAAAUAAUGUAGGUUUGCAUAUUUAUAAUUAAAUGUUCUGAUGAAAAUGAAGAUAUUAUGUUUAUUAAUCAAAUAGUUAUUAAGGCUGUAGCUAAUUAUAACCUAUGUAACCAGUUACUAUUUUGGUUUGAAAGCCUUGCUGUCUCUCUUGUUGUUCUUUCUUUCUCAUCUCCUUUUUUUUCCUAAUUAUUCUGCGACACUCAUGUUAUUUUUUUUCCCCGAACCUAAUUUCAACUCUAAAGCAAUAUUUCUUUCAUCCCUAUAACUCUAGAUCCACAAAUCCUUCCCUAAGAUUAAUCAAUUGCUUAAUGUUGCCCCCAUAAACCAUAAACCAUUAGUAGGCUGGUCUUAGCUUGGUGUAAUUAUCCCAAUGAUAUGUUUAUACAUACUUGCUUCAUUGGCAUAGAAGAAAAAAAAUUUGAGAGAUUAUGUUUAUGGCUUAGGGGUUUUAUUGCCUUAAGAUAGUUGUAUGUCAUUGAUUUUUUUUGCUGAUGAAUGCGCAACAGUAAUCCUUCUUAGUUUUAUCUUUAGAUUGGCUACUCCAUUCGUUUUGAAGACUGCACAUCCAAGAAGACUCUUCUAAAAUAUAUGACAGAUGGAAUGCUCCUACGUGAAUUCCUUGGUGAGCCAAAUUUGGCAAGCUACAGAUGAGCGGUGCUUCAAUGGCUCAUUAGUGGUUUCAUUCUCUAGAUUUUGCUGGUUUACUUACAUUCUCUAGAUUUAUUAGUGUCGUGAUGGUGGAUGAAGCACAUGAAAGAACUUUGUCUACUGAUAUACUUUUUGGACUAGUAAAGGCAAGUACCUCACUUUAACAUCAUGAUCAUCGGUACUUUUGGUUUUUUGGACUGAUGCAUAAAUUGUCUCUUACUUAGUUGUGAAGAGUCUAUGUGCUGCUGACAUUUUAUUUUUACCUAUUAUAGCCUAGACUCUUUAUUUUUACCUAUUGUACCAUUAAUUUUUACUUUUAUAAUCAUAAGCACAAUUUGCUGUACUUGUUGAUGAAUAAUUGAAUUAAGUGUCAAUUUCAAGUUUAUCUUCAUUAUAAAGUGAAAAAAAAAUGAUGUGUUUAAUCUGUUAUGCAUCAAUGAAUUGGAAACGUCUUUGGUUAAAGAAAAACUUACAGGUGUAAUGGGUCAGAGCAAAAGUUUAGGUGUUACAAUUCGAUAUGCCUCUCAUAAUCACUCUCCCUUCCCUAUCUCUAGUUUCUUGUGCUGCUGAAAAUAUGUGCUCUGGAUUUUCUCCAACAGAAUUCUGCUUUGCUGGCAUUCUAUGUUCUUUUUACCUAGAAUAUAUCACCCAUUUCUCUUUCCUCUCCCCUUUGGGUCAAGAGUCAUAGAAGCCAAAUAAGAGAAUUAGAGGGAGGGAAACGUUGCUAAAAGUAGAAGUUAGUUGUAGAAAGCAAUUACCUGGAAUUCCUGCUGGAGUACUGGUGCGAACUAGCGUAUAGAAGAGCUGAGAGAAGCUGUGCUAUCCAUUCUGGAUUAAUAAAAUUAGUGUUCUCUUUUUAUGCUGUCUUUCCUCUCAAAUUUCUCUUUUGUUCUAUCCUUUUCUUCCAUUCUCUCCUCUUAAUUGAUAUCUAGUCCCUGCAGUAACUGGAUACUCGGUGUGUCUAUCCUAACAGUCUGGCAGUUGUAUAUUUUAAUAGAAUUAGGGGUAUUAAUGUCAUUUUGGAAAGUCUACCCUGUCCUUUUGUGGUCUUGUACUGUCUGAGUUCUAAAUUGUCCUGUCCAGCAAACCAAAUGCAGACCCAGCAUAGUUAAUUUCAGGAAACGAUAAUCACCUUGGGGUUUUGGAAGCAUAUGGUUUUUGUUGUCCUUUUCAUUUAGUAUCUGAAUCUGAUGCUUGUGCAUGACAGGAUAUAGCCCGUUUUCGACCAGAGUUAAAGUUGCUUAUUUCAAGUGCAACACUGGAUGCUGCAAAAUUUAGUGAUUACUUUGAUUCAGCUCCAAUUUUUAAAAUUCCUGGAAGGAGGUUUCCUGUUGAGAUGCACUAUACAAAAGCACCAGAAGCUGAUUACCUUGAUGCUGCAAUUGUAACUGUGCUUCAAAUCCAUGUGACUCAAUCCCCUGGAGAUAUUUUAGUUUUCUUCACAGGUCAGGUGGAAAUAGAGACAGCAGAGGAAAUUUUGAAGCACAGGACCAGAGGUCUAGGGACAAAAAUUGCAGAGCUCAUUAUCUAUCCUAUAUAUGCAAAUUUACCAACAGAGCUUCAAGCUAAAAUAUUUGAACCUACACCUGAAGGGGCCCGGAAGGUUGUCCUUGCAACAAAUAUUGCUGAAACAUCUUUAACAAUUGAUGGGAUCAAGUAUGUCAUUGAUCCUGGCUUUUGCAAGAUGAAAUCAUAUAACCCAUGGACAGGGAUGGAAUCAUUGCUUGUAACACCUAUUUCAAAAGCUUCAGCCAUGCAGCGUGCUGGUCGCUCUGGAAGAACAGGUCCAGGAAAAUGUUUUCGGUUGUACACGGCCUAUAACUAUAAUCAUGAUUUGGAUGAUAAUACUGUACCAGAAAUACAAAGGACAAAUCUUGCUAAUGUUGUGCUCUCUUUGAAGAGUCUUGGAAUUCACGACUUAUUAAAUUUUGAUUUUAUAUAGAAAGACUGAAUCUUUUAAUUAUAUCAUCUCAAACGAAUAAAAUUCAAUUAGCGAAAUUAUCGUAUCCUUUUAUAAUGACACGAUAAUCAUCAAUUAAAAAUGUAUAUUUUUUUUAUUUAAUAAAUUUAAAAAUAUAUUCAAAGAUAAGAUUUAGUCACUAAUAUAUUUAGCAUCUCUUUUUUGUUAUUGAUAAUAACAACUAGUAAUAUUUAUCUAAAAUUACGGCCUAAUAUAAUAUUUUUCAUCAAUUGGUUGACCAUGUAUGCAUAAAUUAUCGAUUAAAAUAUCUCUAAUUGAUUUAUCAACAACUUCAAAAUAAUAUCUAUAAUUAAUGAGUGUUUUAUCCCAUAUUAUAAGAGAAGCUUCGCAUAUUAGUAAGGCUAGUUGGGUUCUUUUUUAAUGUUACAUAUUAAGUUUUCAUUUAAUUUACUAGAUAUUUUAAAUCUUAAAUGACCUAUACGUUAACAUGAUAAACUGAUAAAAGUAAAGAUGAAAUACCUGAUUGAUUCAAAAAAAAAGAUGAAAUACCUGAAUAAGCAAUAACUAAAAUAACCCAUCCUUUUGAUCUUAAAUGUGAAAAUAUUGUCUUAUAUAAAUAUGUUUUCCUAGAUUCACAGUGUAUAUAAACAAAAAAAAAAUCCAUCAUUAUUAUUGACAAAUAAAUAAAACUAUAUCAUAUAUAAUCUUUUAUUCUAAAUUCAGCGUGGUAGGAAGUGCUAAAUUAUGAUUUAAUAACAAGGUAAAAUUUUUAUUAAAAUACUAUUUUAAUUCAAGAAGAAUGUGAGUUUUUUAGUUUUUAUCUUGGAUCAUAGACUCAACCAUAUUUAUUAUAUUUUGCAUAUGAUAUUUUAAUAUCAUAGCCAAAAAAUCUCUAGAAUUUAUCAAAUAGUUUUACAGACUUAGAAAUUUCAUAAAAAUUAAUAAUAAUUGUGAACAAAUGUCUUAAUAUCUAUUUUUUAUCAUCAAUUAAUAAAAUUCUUACAAAAUGUGCGGAUUGAUCCCGUUGAUAAAUAAUAUCGUCUAUUGUUUUCACUUAAUUAAAAUUUAUUGGCACUUUGACAAUAUUCAAUAGCAUUGUUAAGUAAUAAAGUUCUCUUACAUUUAGGCACACAUAUGAUAUUCUUUUUAUACAUCGACUUUAAUUCUGUUAAAUCCAUAAUUUGUUCUUUUCAUUUCAUAUUCAUUACCUUGGAAAUUCAACGUAUAUCAAUAGACAUGCAUUUUCAUAAAAAAAACAAAAAAUUAGUUUUUAUCAUUUUGUUAAUGUUGUUUUUCUUUUAUCAACUUUAUUUACAAUAGAUUUUAGAUUUUGAUUUUGUUUGUAAAGAAUAAUAUUUAUUAAGGCAAAUGAACAUAUAAACACUUAUCUUAGGACUUAAAAAAAAUGCCAUACUGCUUCACAGGGUGAUAUAUAAAUGACCAUUUAAAUAAUUUUUUUAUUUUGUUUGUACAUUAUUUAGAAGGUGUUGUGCUGUUAUUAUUUAUUUGUACAACGAUUCUCGCUUUAUCAAGACCCUUAUUAAUAUAUUUAAAUAAAUAUUUUAUGAGCACAAUUACACAAACAAAACUCAAUAUUUAUAUGAGUUUGAUAUAUGAUAAUUAAAUCUUUAUUGUGCAGAACUAUAAAUUUAUUAUUUAUUUUAUUCAUUUUUUUUAACAAAUGAACUAUUAUCCCUUUGCUUAUAGACCGUAAAACCACUUUUAUCUAUGGGUAUCUUAGGCACAAAUUUUUUGGAUAAUGUUUUCAAUAAUGUUUUUUGUGCCUGCACGAACACUUUAAUUUUUAUCAUCAUAUGUUAAUGGAUUAUACUUUUUAUAGAGUAACUCAACCGAUAGUAUAGAAUCAAUUUUUAUUGCUAAUUUAUGCUUUUUUAACCAUACUAAAGAAUGCACCGGAAGCAAAUCUCAUUGUGAAAUUCAAUAAUAUAUAAAAUGACAACAACAUGAUCAAAAUGUUAUUUUAUAUAUAUAUAUAUAUAUAUAUCUAUAUAUAUAUAUAUAUAUAUAUAUAUAUAUAUAUAGAUAGAUAUAUAUAUAUAUAUAUAUAUAAUCUAUUCAAUAAUUAAACUUUGCUUUAAAAACUCAUUCAACUAUAUUUGGCCUAUUUUUGGAUAUUUGGCCUAAAAUUAAAUUUAAAAUAUGUUUUAUUUCAAUUCAAACUGGAUUACAUGUAAAAAUAGUAAAUUAAUCUGGAUGAUUAUAAAAUUUACAUAUAAUUAUUGCAUCAUAGUAGUAUUCUAAUAUAUACCUAGAAACUCGAAUGCAAAAUCGUAUAUUUACCAACAUUAUUUAAAUUAUGUGUAAAGAAACCUUGUAAAUGGAAUUGUUAUGUUACUGUAAAGAAACAUGUUUCAUUGAAUGGAAUUUCUGAAGUUAGAACAUUAUGAGAAUAAAAAUCUUAUGAUAUUUUUCUGUAAAUCAAUAAUUGAGAAUUGUAUCCACAUAUAAAUCAAUAGUUCAUAUUGUCAUUCUCACAAAUUAAUACAUAGUAAUAUCCAUAUGGAAAACAAAAGUUAACAUUUCUUAUAUCCCAACUUACAAUUACACUAAUACAAUAAACAAUAAUGCACUGCACAUUGGAGACACGUUCUGCAGUAACUCAUGGCAUACACCUUUUUCUACUUACAUUACUACCAUUAAAACUGAUUACAAGCAACAAAACACAUAAAAUUAUUAUAAAUAUUGUCAAUGAAUAAUACUUCAAUAUUCUUUCUUUUAUUCUCUUCUUUUUCCAACUUCAAGUGGACCUUGAUCAUCUCUUCUUGACAAGACAUCACAGUAGUAUCUAACAACCUUACUUUAUCUUUGGAUUGCUGCAAUUGCAUUUUUAAUUUUGCCUCUUUCACUUUGCCAAUUACAAUUUUAUUUUCACAGUUAUGAAUUUGAUUCGUAAGGAUUGGAAUCACCUUUACUUUCAUUGGCUUUUUCGUGCUGUCAAUUCAUUCGAAAAAGUUACAUCCUUCUUGACUUGGAUAUUUUAACUUCUACCUAUGUUAUUAUCUGUCAAUACCGUUUUCUAUUGGAUUUCGAAUAUCAUAAAAUCAUCUCUUUAUUUAACGAUGGAGUAUUCGAUGAAAUUGAAGAAUUCAUAUGAUGUUUGAGAAUAAGCUUUUCUAAUAAGUGGGGCAUUGAGGAUUGAGAGAAGUAGAGAGUAGGAGAAAAAUUUGAGAGAAAUCAAUGGAAAAAAAAUAGGGCAUGAUAAGUGAAUUUGGAGUUUUAAAUAUUUUCCUUUUUUUAUAAAAUUACUUUUGUUGUCCUUAGGGUCCCACAUGCCAUGUAAGCUACUGGGCCAUGUCAAUUACCACGUUGUAAAAAAUAAACAGUGUUAUGGCAUCCGUCCUUAGCUAACCGGGGAAAGAGAAAACGUUCUGUUUGCAAAAAAACAAAACAAGAAAAAUCUAGGCCCUCGUUACUAAAAGCGCAAAACCUAAAUAACUAAACCCUCAACUCUCCAUGCCUAACAUCUCUUAAACUCUCAACGCAGCUGCCCGUUCCCUCCCCCGCCCGUGUCUACCUCUCCCCUCACCCUCUGGUGUAGACGUCCACCUCCCGCCGAUUGUCUCUCUGCUGUUCAUGCUGUCAACGGCAUUGCUGCAUCCGGUGCUCGUUGCUGCGUCCGCUAGUUCUGGUUGCUUCUUUUCUCUCCUCCGCCGCUCCCUCUGGUUCUCUUCGUUGCAUCCCCUGGUCCAUUCCUUCUGCCGCCCGGUGCUGCUCGUCGCCUUUGGUCCUCGUCCUCAAUCACACCGCUGCUGCUCCUCGCCGCUACGUCAAUCACUGCAGGUUUGAAUGUGUUUUGAGAUUGUGGUUUCAUAUGUGUGCUUUCUAAGAUUUGUGAGAUUUAUUGAUUUGGGUUUUUGAAAUUUGCGGAAAUGCUAAGAUUUAUGCGAAUAUGCUUGGGGUUGUAUUUUUGAAAUUUAUUUUGAAAUUUGUUGAAAUAAAGACUAUAAUGAAUGAAUAUAGGGUUGUUUUUAUGAGAUUAUUGAAAUAGGUUUAUGAAUUUUAUUGAAAUGUUAAUGUGAGAUUCCUAAAAAUUUAUGGAAAUGCUAAGAUUUAUCUAAAUGUGCUGAGCAUUGUAAUUGUGAGAGUAUUGAAAAUUUGUUAAAAGGAGACUAUUGUGAAUGAAUUGAGAGUUGCUUUUGAGAGAUUAGUGAAAUGGUAAUAUGGGAUUUUGUGUGAAUUUUUUCUUUUUGAUUAUGAGUUAAUGGGUUUGAGUAGUUUGGGGUAGUAAACAGAUCAUGGUAAACCUGUUUGAGAUGGAUAUGGGUAGUGAAAUCUAAUUUCUAAACAGAUGUGGGUAGUGAAAUCAGAUUUGUAAACAGAUUUGGAUAGUUUAUUUAUAAACAAGUUCGGGUUCAGGUACCUAAAAUUUUGCAUGUACCCUAUCCAGUACCAUCCCUACUCACUUUCUUUAUUGUAAGGGAAGUAUGUUGUUUUCCUCAUUUCCUGUUCCUCAGAAUACUUCCUGGAAAAAGAAAUUCCUAGGAAAUAAAAUAUUUUGAACAAAGAAGGCCUGGAUAUAAAUAAUGCACCUUAGUAAAAGCCUUUAAAAAAAUUAAAGGAAACAUUUUUAGUCCUUAUAAUAUAGAAAAAUUUAUUAAUUAAUUUAUCGAUUUUGAAAAAUAUAUUAAAAUGACCCUGAAAAUUUUAAGAACCUACUAAUUAGUCAUUUUUUUAGUUUUAGCCGUUGAGUAUUUAACUAUUUAGUCCAUAUAGUACAGAAAAACUUGUUGGUUAGUCUUUUAGUUUUGUAAAAGUAUUUACUAUUUAGUCUUCCGUAUUGAGGUUAUUUUAGACUUUUGUGCAACACUCAGCGGUUGAAAUUAAUGGAGAGACUAAUUAGUGUAUUUUUUAAAAUCAAGAGACUAACUAAUGGUUUUAUUGAAUAGUAAUUUUUCCAAAAUUAAAAGAAUAAAAUUAAAUUGGAAUCUUUUUCAAAAAAUAAUAAUACUAAAAAGGAAAAAUAAAUAUUUAGUCCCUCAGCUUAAGUGAAACUCGUUAGUUGAUGCCCGCAUUUUCAAACCACAUUAAAAUGUUCCUCACUUUUCAUGUAAUUAACUAAAUAAUCUCUCUGACCAAUUUAGGCCUCAUUUGCCGUUAGUCAUAAGAGAGAGAAAUCUUUUUUGGGCCAUAAACACCCUUGGUCUUUUAUUUUCUCUUAUAUUAAGUUCGUCCCUCCUAUAUCGUCCCUGUCUUCUUCAUUGUAAGGGUUUCUGCUCUCUCUUCUUCAUUGUUAGGGUUUUUGCUCUCCUUGAUUAAUCUCCAUCUUCUUCAAUUCUUAAAAGUGUCAUAUGCUUCUGGUAGUACAAUGAGUGGGUGGGGGGGUGUAAGGAAGACUGUAAAUUGCUGCUUGUAAAGGUAGAAAGAGUUGAAGGCUUGCUGGGUCAAUUGAAAGCAAUUGUUGUGAUUCUUAUUGUAGCCUUGGUGUUUAUUAGGAUGACGAUGAAGUAGAUUUAGUGGUAUUAGAAAUGUAAAAUGUACUGGUUGAAAUUGUAUUUGAUGCUUUGCUUUGUUAUAUGUUCAAGGUUCAUUGUACCAGUAAUGGAAUGACUAAAUGAUAUUCCUAUUAAUUACUUAGGGACUAAAUAGUUUUAAGUAUUAUAAAAGAGGGACUAUAUAGUUAAUAUGGAUAGAAUUGAGGGACUACAUAGUAUAUAGUUAAUAUUUAUAAAAUUGAGGGACAACAGUGUUGUCAAUUUAAUUUAAUGACAAAAAUUAAAGUAGAGACAACAAAAUCCUUAUUGUAAACAACCCAAGCUUUUAACGUGUUAUGUAAAAGCAACUCCAAUCAGAUUGUGAAACUUAUUCAGAAAUAGAAAGAUGAAAAUGGGUUCUCUUUGGCAGCCACCCGAGUUUGGUUGUAGUGAGGUUAGGUUUUUUUAAAUUUGGGGGUUUAGUUGUAUUCAUAAAGAAGGACCAAGGGUAAUCCAGUUAUUUCGCACCUCAAUAAUGUUUAAAUUAGAUGGAGGGACUGUUAGUUAAUUACUUAACGUGGGGAUGACUUGAUGUGGUUUUGGAAAUAUGGGGACCAACUAAUGAGUUUCACUAAAACUGAGGGAUUACAUAGUUUUUUUUUUCCAAUAAAAAAAUAAACCUAAACCUCAAAUAAAUCCCACUUCACUGCCGACAGCCCAGUCGGCACCGACGCCGUCUCCUUUCUCUCCCCAGCGACGAUAAAUCUUCUCUCUCCCCAGUCAGCGAUAUCUCCUUCUCUCUCCAGUCGGCGACAUCUCCCACUUCCCGGUCAACGCCUCUCUCCCCCACUUCACUGACGAGUGCAGGCAGCCCAAUCGGCACCGGUUUCUCUCCCCAAUCGACAAUAAAUCUUCUCUCUCCCCAGUCAACGAUAUCUCCUUCUCUCUUUCCAUUGUGGCGACAUCUCCCACUUUCCAGUCGGAGACAACUCUUCCCUCUCCCCUGUCGGCAUCGGCAACAUCUCCUUCUCUCUCCACAGGCGGUGACAUCUACUCUCUCCAAUUGACGCUUCUCUCCCCCACUUCACUGAUGACUGCCGGAGACAACCCUUGCCUCUCCCCAAUCGCGUCGGCGACAUCUCCUUUGACCGGAACUUUCUUCAGGUUUGCAAUCAAAUUUUUUGAUAAUCAAAAUCUUUUAUGUUUAUGUUUAUCUUGUUAAAGAAUUUUUAGUUGCUGUUAAAGAUUUUUAGAAUUUAUGGACUAUUAAUCUUAUUAUUUGGAUACUGGUAAAAAAUCUGAUUAUUUGCUAGUUGGUUACUGUUUGAUUUUUAGAAUUUAUGGACUAUUACUCUGAUUAUUUGCUAUUUGGUUACUCUUAAUCUGAUAAUCAAGAUCUUUUUAGUUGCUGUUAAAAUAUGCUAAUACUACCAGAUUUCAUGCUGUUGAUUUACUAGAAUGAUAUUUGAUGUAGUGAAGAGAUUAUAAAUCCUAAGUACCCUCUAUGUAAUCCACCUGGUUCUGUGUCAUUGAGCAUUUCUCUAAUGUUUCUACUGCUGGAUUGUACAUAUCAUACAGAUAGUUUUUGUGAAAAUUAUUGCUAAGUUAUUUGACUUGAUUUACAAUCUAUGUUUUCUGCAUUUGUUUUUUUGAAGGUUUUCUAGCCCAAUUUGAUAUUGGAGAUUGAAAUGGCCAAUUGAAUAUAUUUUAUGUUCAAUCAAUGUAGUUUAAUGAAUUUUUUGAAACAUUUCAUUUGUUCAAAAUUUUAUGUUGGAUACAUAAUUGAUUAAUCAAUUAAUGGUUGUGUUAAGAUGAAUUUAUAAUAUAUUUAUUUUGUUUUAGUAUAUUUAAAUUUCCUAAUUCAAAUUUGUUAUUUGGGUUAUAAUAUUCAAAUCUUUAAAUUUUUUUAUCAUUGAAUUGAAGUAAAAAGAUUGGGUUUGGGUAUUGUGCGGGUAUUGUUAAACGGAUUUAGAACGGGUACGUGUAUUAAAAUUAAAAUAUUAAACGGAUUUCGGAAGGGUUUGGAAAUUAUACAUAUAAUCGGGUUCGGGUUUGGGUACUCUCAAUUUUGUGGGUACCCUAUCCAUUGCCAUGCAGUCACUAUACUUGUAGAUAAAUAAAAGAAAAAGAUAAAAAGUAAUAUUGAUUAAAUAAUUUUAGAAAUAAUUAGAAAAUUAUAAUGUUUUCUUUAAUAUUAUUUAUUUUAAAAAUAAUUUAAAAGACAACUAAAAUAUUCUCACUAUAAACUAAUACACACAUUAUAUUAAAUAUUUUUAAUAUUAUGGAAAAUUAUUUUUUAGUCCCUGAGGUAUAGCGUAAUUAACAUAUUCGUCCCUCUAUUUUUAGAACCCAACGCUUUUGUCCCUGAGGUUUAAUUCCGUCAAAAUUAGAGGUCCCUUCGUCAAAAAUGCCGUUAGUGAUAGAAAAAUGACCGAAUUACCCUUUCUAGAACUCAAUACUUUAGUUCCUGAAAUUUAAUUCUUACAAAUUUAUAGGUCCCUCUUUCAAAGAAUUGAAGGAAAAAAUACAUUUUUAUCACUAAAAUAUUACAUAAUUAACAUAUUUGUAUCUCUAUUUUUUUGAAUUCAAUAUUUUAGUCCCUAAAGUUUAAUUUCGUCAAAAUUCAAGGAAGAAAAUCUCAAACUCAAUAUAUAAAAUUUAAAUUAUUAAAAAUAAAAAGUUAAAACUCAAUAUAAAUAUUUUUUGUGAUGCUGUUCGUCAUCGAUCACUGCUCGCCAUUUUAAAAAUUCAUUAAAAUGUCUCUGAUAUUUUAAAAAAUUUACUAGUUAGUUUUUCCGUUAAUUUUAGUCGUUAAGUGUUAUAAAAAAAAUCUAAAAUUUUCAUGAUAUGGAGUGACUAAUUAGUAAAUUUUGUCAUAAUUUGAGGGACUAAUUAUUUUUUUUAAACUAUAGGGACUAAAUAGUAAAAUAUUUAGUGAUAAAAUUAAUAGAGGAACUAACUAGUAGACUUUUUAAAAUGUUAGGGAUAUUUUAAUAUAUUUUUUAAAAUUGAGGGACUAAGUAGCGAGUUUUUUCAUUCUAUAGGGACUAAAUAGUAUUUUUUUAUUUUAUUAUUGAUAAGGAUAUUUUUGAGAUAAAUAAUCAGGUGAAAAUCAUUGACUUAACAGAAAUUUUUUACGGAUGGACCUUAAAUUUUGACGGAAUUAAACCUUAGGGACGAAAAUGUUGGGUUUUAAAAAUAGAGAGACGAAUAUGUUAAUUACGCUAUACUUCAGGGACUAAAAAAUAAUUUUUUCUAUUAUAAACUAUAUUAUUUAUUUUUAAAAAAUUAUAGUCCGAAAGGCAAAAUUAAUAUACAUAUAUUAAAAAGUAUUUUAAAUAAUUAUAAACUAUGAAAAAUCUUAAUUAAAAGGAAGUAAUAAAACAAUAAAAUUAACAAUAAAAUUAAGGAAAAUUUUAUUAUUUAAUUUUUAAAUAUGGCUAUCAUUAAUAUGUAAGUUUUUAUAUUUUUAAAAAUUUAUUAAAAUAUUUUUAUUUUUUUUAAAAAAAUAAUUUUUUUUAAUUAAAAAUAGAUAAAUAAUAAAAGUUAAAAUUUUUAAAAUUUAAUUUUAUUCUUAAUAAUAUAUAUAUUUUAAUGAUCUAUUUUUUAAAAUUUAAUUUUUUUAAUUUAGUUUUUUAGUAUAUUAUUAAUCGAAAUAAAUAAAAUUAAACAGAAAAAUUAUUUUAUUGAUAAAAAAAUAAUAAAAAUAUUUUAAUAAAUUUAUAAAAAUGUAACCACUAAUUUUUAAUAAUAAUAAUACUUAAAAAUUAAAUAAUAAAUUCUCCUAAAAUUAAAUAAGUAAAAAAAAUUUUAAAUCACCCAUUAAAUUUUUUAUGAACGUCUAACUAGGCCCAUUCAAAUUUUUUUUUGCUAAACACACUUCCAAUUUUAUCUUUAAUAUCAACAACUCAUGCUUUAAUAUAAUAUUAUUUUUUAUAAUUUAAACUAUAAAAAAUUUAAUAUUUUAAUUAAUAUAAAAAUUAAAAAUAAUAAAUAAUUUUUAAAAUUAUAAAAAUAAAAUUUUAUUAUUAAAUUUAAUAUUUUAUUAUUAAAAAGUAAUAUUUUAUUAUUAAAAAAGUAAUAUUUUAUUAUGCAAAGAUUUUUUUUGAAUUAAUAGGUUAAGACUUACUUGAUCCUAAAAGUAAUAUAUACCAAUUUAUUUGAAAAAAAAAUUGAAUUGGCCUUGUUUAAAAGUUGAAGGGCUGAUUUGACUUUUUUCCUAAGCAAACCCUUAAAUCCUUUUAUAAAAAAAACCCUUCAAAUCUCCAGCCCUAAUAUUUCCCUCCCCUUCGACAAAAGAGUAAAAACAAAAAAACUUCUCCCUCAACUCUCAACACUGCUGCUCGUCCCCUCCCGUCCCCCCCUUCGGUCUCUCCGCCUCUCCUCUGGUACAGCCGCGCGCCUCCGCCUCCCGCCUCUUGCCUAUCGUCCUUGUUCUUCACGCUGUCAACGUCGUUGCUGCGUCCGCUGUUUCUGGUUGCUUCAUCGCUUUCCUCCGCAGCUUCCUCUGGUCCUCGUCGCUGCGUCCACUGGUCCAGUCAUCCUGCCGUCCG
rnacentral:lncRNA from 1 species